GACGAACCGUGCGAACGUUAUUCGGAAUCAUUGGGCUUAAAGGGCGCGUAGGCGGCGGCGUAAGUUGGAAGUGAAAUCCCAUCGGCUCAACCGUGGAAUCGCUCCCAGUACUGCGUCGCUCGAGGGGGAUAGGGGUCUGCGGAACUACCGGUGGAGCGGUGAAAUGUGUUGAUAUCGGUGGGAACGCCAGUGGCGAAAGCGGCAGACUGGACCCUUCCUGACGCUGAGGCGCGAAAGCUAGGGGAGCAAA
rnacentral:rRNA from 1 species